GAUGAACGCUAGCGGGAGGCUUAACACAUGCAAGUCGAGGGGUAGGGAAGCAAUUCCUGAGACCGGCGGACGGGUGCGUAACGCGUAUGCAACCUGCCUUAUACAGGGGGAUAGCCCAUGGAAACGUGGAUUAACACCCCAUAGGAUUACGGGAUCGCAUGAUUUUGUGAUUAAAACUGAGGUGGUAUAAGAUGGGCAUGCGUCUGAUUAGGUAGUUGGUAGGGUAAUGGCCUACCAAGCCGACGAUCAGUAGGGGUUCUGAGAGGAUUACCCCCCACACUGGUACUGAGACACGGACCAGACUCCUACGGGAGGCAGCAGUGAGGAAUAUUGGUCAAUGGCCGGAAGGUUGAACCAGCCAUCCCGCGUGCAGGAUGACGGCCCUAUGGGUUGUAAGCUGCUUUUGUACCUGAAGAAUAGGCCCAACGAGUUGGGAUUUGCCGGUAAGGUAUGAAUAAGCAUCGGCUAACUCCGUGCCAGCCGCCGCGGUAACAC
rnacentral:rRNA from 1 species